rnacentral:rRNA from 1 species
GUCGAGGGGCAGCAUGGUCUUAGCUUGCUAAGGCCGAUGGCGACCGGCGCACGGGUGAGUAACACGUAUCCAACCUGCCGUCUACUCUUGGACAGCCUUCUGAAAGGAAGAUUAAUACAAGAUGGCAUCAUGAGUCCGCAUGUUCACAUGAUUAAAGGUAUUCCGGUAGACGAUGGGGAUGCGUUCCAUUAGAUAGUAGGCGGGGUAACGGCCCACCUAGUCUUCGAUGGAUAGGGGUUCUGAGAGGAAGGUCCCCCACAUUGGAACUGAGACACGGUCCAAACUCCUACGGGAGGCAGCAGUGAGGAAUAUUGGUCAAUGGGCGCAGGCCUGAACCAGCCAAGUAGCGUGAAGGAUGACUGCCCUAUGGGUUGUAAACUUCUUUUAUAAAGGAAUAAAGUCGGGUAUGUAUACCCGUUUGCAUGUACUUUAUGAAUAAGGAUCGGCUAACUCCGUGCCAGCAGCCGCGGUAAUACGGAGGAUCCGAGCGUUAUCCGGAUUUAUUGGGUUUAAAGGGAGCGUAGAUGGAUGUUUAAGUCAGUUGUGAAAGUUUGCGGCUCAACCGUAAAAUUGCAGUUGAUACUGGAUAUCUUGAGUGC